GGGGCGAAAAUAGCGUCAAAAAACGAGUGAGCGAAGAGGUUUUCCUUGAAACAAUAUGCCCACACCGUCAGAGAUUGGGGUGGCGGGUUUUCGCCUUCUUCUCCCUUCUCCAUCGAACCUUCUUAUCAAUUUUCGAGAAAAAAA
ensembl:ncRNA F26A10.22 ncRNA